UUAUUGGGCGUAAGGGCUCGCAGGUGGUUUCUUAAGUCUGAUGUGAAAGCCCCCGGCUCAACCGUGGAGGGUCAUUGGAAACUGGGAGACUUGAGUGCAGAAGAGGAAAGUGGAAUUCCAUGUGUAGCGGUGAAAUGCGUAGAGAUGUGGAGGAACACCAGUGGCGAAGGCGACUUUCUGGUCUGUAACUGACACUGAGGAGCGAAAGCGUGGGGAGCGAACAGGAUUAGAUACCCUGGUAGUCCACGCCGUAAACGAUGAGUGCUAAGUGUUAGAGGGUUUCCGCCCUUUAGUGCUGAAGUUAACGCAUUAAGCACUCCGCCUGGGGAGUACGGCCGCAAGGCUGAAACUCAAAGGAAUUGACGGGGGCCCGCACAAGCGGUGGAGCAUGUGGUUUAAUUCGAAGCAACGCGAAGAACCUUACCAGGUCUUGACAUCCUCUGACAACCCUAGAGAUAGGGCUUCUCCUUCGGGAACAGAGUGACAGGUGGUGCAUGGUUGUCGUCAGCUCGUGUCGUGAGAUGUUGGGUUAAGUCCCGCAACGAGCGCAACCCUUGAUCUUAGUUGCCAUCAUUAAGUUGGGCACUCUAAGGUGACUGCCGGUGACAAACCGGAUGAAGGUGGGGAUGACGUCAAAUCAUCAUGCCCCUUAUGACCUGGGCUACACACGUGCUACAAUGGA
rnacentral:rRNA from 1 species